UCGUCAUAACAAAAGGAGACAGAGAGAGAUGCAGGACAACAAGAGAUAAAGAGAGAGAUCCGGCAUUCGGCGCCGAUUAGUCACCGCCCCCGCCCCCGCGCCUCCCGGCGCGUGCUCGCCUCUCACCCGCAUACCCGAUGGUGUAGAAAUUGUUGGUGGCGUCGGUUUAGUCAACUAAAUGUCUGAGUGACGGUGGCUCUUAGUUUAUGUGAAGAAUCGAGGGUUCAGAGGUAGUAGUAGGGUACCGCCAUGAACCAUGGUGACAACGGUGAUGGUGUGGAGGCUGGAAGUCAAAAUAGAGACGGCAUGCAGGGGUAUCACAAGGAUGCCAGCGGCGAAUCGGGUUGCCAUACGUUUAUUGUUGUUGGUUAUCGCUACAGGCCCUGAAACUACCGCGCUGAAGAACGGAUGGGGUGACACAACCUACUAAAGCACCACUGCGCUAUCAAAAAAGGAACCGCAUCCAACGUUUGUUUUUCUCUUUUUUGUUUAAUGUAAAGAACUUAGUAUGUAAACAAUAUGUAAAGAACUUGGUAUGAAAACACUUGAACUCAACUCAACCACGGGCAACAACCCUUUUCAUAA